rnacentral:rRNA from 1 species
GACGAACGCUGGCGGCGUGCCUAAUACAUGCAAGUAGAACGCACAGUUUAUGCCGUAGCUUGCUACACCAUAGACUGUGAGUUGCGAACGGGUGAGUAACGCGUAGGUAACCUGCCUGGUAGCGGGGGAUAACUAUUGGAAACGAUAGCUAAUACCGCAUAAUAUUGAUUAUUGCAUGAUAAUUGAUUGAAAGAUGCUAUUGCAUCACUACCAGAUGGACCUGCGUUGUAUUAGCUAGUAGGUGAGGUAACGGCUCACCUAGGCGACGAUACAUAGCCGACCUGAGAGGGUGAUCGGCCACACUGGGACUGAGUCACGGCCCAGACUCCUACGGGAGGCAGCAGUAGGGAAUCUUCGGCAAUGGACGAAAGUCUGACCGAGCAACGCCGCGUGAGUGAAGAAGGUUUUCGGAUCGUAAAGCUCUGUUGUAAGAGAAGAACGGGUGUGAGAGUGGAAAGUUCACACUGUGACGGUAUCUUACCAGAAAGGGACGGCUAACUACGUG